CAUGCUUGCUGCUUUUGCACUCUCUUACACUGCUUCAACAGAUCUGCUUGAUCUAUAAAAACUCAUUCUAUACCCUUGCAACAACACACACUCUCUUCUCCUCUUUCUCUUUCUCUUUCUUUCUCUUUCUCAUUUAUACACUUGCAUCUGAAUGCACUGCUCUCUUUCUCUGCAGAGAGACAGUAUCAUCUUAUUCAAUUCUUAUCUCUUUUUUCUUUCUGUAUCUGUGGAGUCAUCAAAGCAAUAUCUUCUGAUAAUCUGACAGACUGUCAUUUUAUUGAUUUCUGAGUCAUUCACAUCAUCUUUCAUGAUAUUACUUCACUUGAUCUGAAGCUGUACUUCACCACUUUCUGAGACACACCACUUUCUGAGACACUAAGUCACAUGAUAUAAAACUCUAUAUAGAACUUACUUGACUUCAUUAUAUAGACUACUGAUUUCAGACAUCAAUAUAGAGAUGCAAGUUAUGUCUAGAUAUCAUACACAGACUCUGUAUGACUGAAGUAAAUAGAAAUUAUACAUAUCUGUCUACUGCUCUGUCAGAAAAAGAAUAAAAAAAGAAAAAAAAAGAUUAUAUAUAUCAGAGAGAGAAGCUAUUUCAGAACUAUAGAAACAGCAGAUAUUAAAUCAGCUGUAAGCAACUGCUGCUCAGAAGAAGGCUCUAUCUACUGUUGAGAGUCAUUCUCAUCAUUAUCAUCAUUUAAGUCUAUUAUCUCUAUACCCUCAUCUUAUAUAGAGCAGUGAGCAGCAUGAUCUCAUCACUUACAGUUGUCACAGACUUCAUCAAAGUGGUC
rnacentral:sRNA from 1 species